AGUGAACGCUGGCGGCGUGCCUAACACAUGCAAGUCGAACGAGGUGGCGCACGGGUGAGUAAUAUAUAGUUAAUCUGCCCUACACAGAGGAACAACAGCUGGAAACGACUGCUAAUACCUCAUAUUGUAGGAUGAGACUAUAUCGUAUCAGCUAGUUGGUAAGGUAAUGGCUUACCAAGGCUAUGACGCGUAACUGGUCUGAGAGGAUGAUCAGUCACCUUGGAACUGAGACACCGUCGAAACUCCUACCGGAGGUGGCAGUAGGGGAUAUUGCGCAAGGGGCGAAACCCUGAAACAGCAACGCCGCGUGGAGGAUGACACUUUUCGGAGAGUAAACUCCUUUUAUCAGGAAAACGGUACCUGAAGAAUAAGCACCGGCUAACUCCGUGCCAGCAGCCGCGGUAAUAC
rnacentral:rRNA from 1 species